GGACCGGUGAGUAAUGCCUAGGAAUCUGCCUGGUAGUGGGGGACAACGUUUCGAAAGGAACGCUAAUACCGCAUACGUCCUACGGGAGAAAGCAGGGGACCUUCGGGCCUUGCGCUAUCAGAUGAGCCUAGGUCGGAUUAGCUAGUUGGUGAGGUAAUGGCUCACCAAGGCGACGAUCCGUAACUGGUCUGAGAGGAUGAUCAGUCACACUGGAACUGAGACACGGUCCAGACUCCUACGGGAGGCAGCAGUGGGGAAUAUUGGACAAUGGGCGAAAGCCUGAUCCAGCCAUGCCGCGUGUGUGAAGAAGGUCUUCGGAUUGUAAAGCACUUUAAGUUGGGAGGAAGGGUUGUAGAUUAAUACUCUGCAAUUUUGACGUUACCGACAGAAUAAGCACCGGCUAACUCUGUGCCAGCAGCCGCGGUAAUACAGAGGGUGCAAGCGUUAAUCGGAAUUACUGGGCUUAAAGCGCGCGUAGGUGGUUGGUU
rnacentral:rRNA from 1 species